UUUUGUUUUGUUUUUAUUUUUGGUUGCUUUGUGGGGGCGAGGGGAUGAGAGACUUUUAAUUACUGCUUCUAUUUCUAAAGGGGUUAAGAUCUGUUUAAACUGCUUAUCUGAUCCUGAUUUAACUUUGGUAAGUAUACAUAUUGAGAAACUUAUCCAUUUCCAUUAGUUUUUCAAUUUGGUAGUGCAUGGUUUUUAAAGUUUGUCUUUAUGAUCCUUUGGAUUUCUUCAGUGUCUGUUGUUACAUCCCCUUUUUCAUUUCUGAUUUUAUUAAUUAGAUAUUCUCUCUCUGCCUUUUAGUUAACUCAGAUAAGGCUUUGCCAGUCUGGGAUUUUCUCAAAGACCCAACUCCCUGUUUCAUUGAUUCUUAGUAUUGUUGUGUUUGUUUCUAUUUUAUUGAUUUCAGCCCUGAGUUUGCUUAUUUCCUGCUGCCCACUCCUUUCGGGUGUGACUUCUUCUCUUUGGUCUAGACCUUUCAGGUGUGCUGUUGAGUUAGUAAUAUGAGGUCUUUCCAGUUUUGUUGUUGUUUAUUUUAUUCUUUAAUGUAGGCCCUUAGUGCUGUGAACUUGCCUCUUAAAACAGCCUUGGUUUAAAGUCUGUUUUGUCAGAUAUUUAAAAUACUUCUUAGAUCCAUUUGCUUGGAUACCUUUUUUAUCCUUUUACCCUGAAGUGAUACUGUCCUUGAAGAUAAUGUGUAAUUUUUUUUCUUGGCUUUUCAGGGGUUCAAUCUGUUGUCAUCAUUGUGAAGAACAUGGCAACAUCCAGGCAGACAUGAUGCUGGAGACGUAGCUGAGAGUUCUACAUCUAGAACUUAAUUACAAAAUGACCGCUGCUGACAGAUGACCACAAUGUGUCUGGUUCAGAGGUUUUGUCCGGGUUGUUCCUCAGCUCCAAUCCAUUGGUGGAGAUCCAAGUUCGGGGUGUUCACUGGAGCCUUCCCAGGGAACUUCCCAGCAGCUCAGCCUCCCAGGGAGCCAGAGAGAAAAUCUGAAUCAUGUCUCUGCAGAGGCCAGAAUUCUCAGCUUCCUCGGACCUCCCC
rnacentral:lncRNA from 1 species